rnacentral:rRNA from 1 species
AGAUUGAACGCUGGCGGCAGGCCUAACACAUGCAAGUCGAGCGGCAGCACGGGUACUUGUACCUGGUGGCGAGCGGCGGACGGGUGAGUAAUGCCUAGGAAUCUGCCUGGUAGUGGGGGAUAACGCUCGGAAACGGACGCUAAUACCGCAUACGUCCUAACGGGAGAAAGCAGGGGACCUUCGGGCCUUGCGCUAUCAGAUGAGCCUAGGUCGGAUUAGCUAGUUGG